rnacentral:rRNA from 1 species
UACGUAGGGGGCAAGCGUUGUCCGGAAUCAUUGGGCGUAAAGCGCGUGUAGGCGGGACGGCACGUCGGCCGCUGAAAUCCCCCGGCUCAACCGGGGAAGGGGCGCCGAUACGACCGCCCUGGAGGGACGUAGGGGGGGCUGGAGCACACUAGAGGCGGAUGGAAUUCCGGGUGUAGCGGUGGAAUGCGUAGAGAUCCGGAAGAACACCGGUGGCGAAGGCGGUCCGCUGGGGUGUUGCUGACGCUGAGGCGCGACAGCGUGGGGAGCAAACAGG